rnacentral:lncRNA from 10 species
CUCAGGACGAGCUGCAUGCCGGGCGGUGAGGAUUCGCCCAGUCUGCAGGGCAGACCCGACCAUGUCCUUGUCUGAGAGUGGGAAAACGGACACUGCAAAGCGCUGGCAACAGAGGGACAAACUGCAGCUGGGGACCUGGGAUUCCGUAGGUGGCACUUGCUGAUGCCCUGUCAGAGACCAGCUGGCUGGUUUUCCGAACAUUGUGGCAAGGAAGCCCAGUUCUUCCUGGCAUUGCUUGUCAGUCCACUGCUUUGAAAGUGUGCCCUUAUCCAAGUUGGGGCUGUGUGGACGUGGACCUGCUAUUGUUCAGGAACCAGGAAUGCUGGAGGUGAGUCACCCCCACCUAGGAAAAUUGACCUUAGGCCAUGCAGCUCCUCAGGCCUGCGGACACC